rnacentral:rRNA from 1 species
UACGGGAGGCAGCAGUGGGGAAUCUUAGACAAUGGGCGCAAGCCUGAUCUAGCCAUGCCGCGUGAGUGAUGAAGGCCUUAGGGUCGUAAAGCUCUUUCGCUGGGGAAGAUAAUGACUGUACCCAGUAAAGAAACCCCGGCUAACUCCGUGCCAGCAGCCGCGGUAAUACGGAGGGGGUUAGCGUUGUUCGGAAUUACUGGGCGUAAAGCGCGCGUAGGCGGACUGGAAAGUUGGGGGUGAAAUCCCGGGGCUCAACCUCGGAACUGCCUUCAAAACUCCCAGUCUUGAGUUCGAGAGAGGUGAGUGGAAUUCCGAGUGUAGAGGUGAAAUUCGUAGAUAUUCGGAAGAACACCAGUGGCGAAGGCGGCUCACUGGCUCGAUACUGACGCUGAGGUGCGAAAGUGUGGGGAGCAAACAGGAUUAGAUACCCUGGUAGUCCACACCGUAAACGAUGAAUGCCAGACGUCAGCAAGCAUGCUUGUCGGUGUCACACCUAACG